AUGAAUUUCUCACCUCUACCGAAGAUAAUAUCAGGAACAUUUGAGUUCAUUUUUGAAUUAUGGUUGAUGCGUUCAUGUAGAUUCAUUGAGAUUCAGUUGUAUGGAUCUUGCAAACUGAAACAUGUUGUUAUGCAGAGAAAAUUAGAAGCUAAGACGAUGAUAUGGUGUAGAAUUCUUGAUGAAGAUAAUGAUGAUUAA